UUCAGUCAAGACGAAAAAACUACUUAACAUGCACAAAAAGGGACCCACAAUUAGAGACUGGAAGGGGGUUAGGCACAAUAGUAGGAAUGCAUAAUUCAAAAUGUCACUCAGCAAUCUACUUUGGAAUAAUAUUAGUUGUACGCUGAUUCUCGUGUUUGGCAACUCAGAAGAUACUUUGGCUCAACACAGGAAAAUAAAAAGGUACUUCACAUAGUUCUGUUUGGGAGGAUGAUGAGAACUGGAACAUUUUCUGACUGUUUCAGGAGAGAUCCCUAUCAAAUUAAAUAAGGCUGCUGUCUUUCUCCUGGUUUUCACUCAAAAAACAUAAUUCACCUAUGCACAAAAUUCAGUGCAGAUUUCUUAAAGUCUUCAACAUAACUGUCCCAGCAUUUUAGCUCAUUAAGUAAAAAGUAAUGUAGCUUAACAUGGACUAGUUUGAAACAGGAAAACAAAAAGCAGGGGGAAGAAAUGCAGAGGAAGCAAGUUAAAUGAACACAUGAUAGAAAUUCUAAGUCUUUUCAGGAGACAAAAAGAAAAAGGUGCAGUUAACUUAUUCUUAGCUUGGAGUUUUAUUCAGAUGUUUCCUCAAGGCUUUCAGAGAAGGAGAGUUGAGGAGGAGAAAGAAAAACACUGUGGAAUAGCUGGAAAAUAUAGCAGAAAGGACAGUAUAUGUGGCAUGAACGGUUACGGAAAACUGGCAGAUAGUGACAGAAGAGUCAAUUGACAAGAGCAAAGGUCAGCAUAAAAGAAAUCAGUAUUAAGGCCCUGAAGCAUGGAGAAAAAUGUCUACGCACUAAACAAAAUUGUUUACUUAGUUUUGAUUUAUAGCUGCUGCAUCAUGAAUUUCAGUUACAGUUAGCUGCAUAAGACAACAUUUCUCUUCAAUCCAGACCUUGCCAGUAAAUAUCUGAUUUUCAAAACAACCUUUCAGAAAGGGAGUAUUAGGUAACAUAGGACUGACGAGUAACUAUAGUGUUAUUAAAAUUAAUCUAAUCUAAUGUACUCCCAAAGUCUAAUAGUUAGUCAUUUAGUUCAUUGGUAUACUCUCAAAAGCUGAAAUAAAAAAUGAACUGACCAAAACCACAUUUAAGAAAAGCAAGUUCAAAAAAACCCCAAACAUUAUAUAGCUCCAGGCUUUGCCUCAUGUUUGCAAGUAGCAAUCAAUUUGCUUGCUUAUUGAUGACAAGUGGAGCGACUGACCAUUAACCUUCCUGGAUGCUACCAGGCACUGAAAACGCCUUGAAUCCUAACUGGUAUCAUCAGGUACCAACAUUUGAGAGCUCUUCAGUUUCUUGCAACCAUUCCACGUUAAACUGCCCUGCAGCCGCAGAUGGUUGUUCAGGCAGCUGUUCUGGCCAGAGGUGGUCCCUCCUCAGCUCAUUAUUUCAUAGUUCAUCAUAGAAGUAGCUCGGGGGGGUUGCACUGCCCGGACUGACUGACAGCAGUUAAAGAGCACUCACGCAAGUCCUUCUGCAGGCAGUGUUACAGAGGUGGUAAGUCAGGGCCCUACCGGCUCUAGCACAGUGAAACCCAGAAGUUGUCUGUUUAUAGGCUGAAGUUUGCACUGUGCAUAUGGGAUUGACUUAGUAAUUUAAUAAAUUAGCAAAGCAAGGUAAAUAGAGGUAGAUAAUGGCUGUGGGAAGGAUUGUACAGAAGCCUUUGACUUCAUUUUUGCAAACCUGUGAAUAGAUGAGAAUAUAGAGAGUUCCAUUCCAUGUUUUGGACAUUGAAUGGGCAGGACACGCCUCACAGACAGUCAGAAAGAUAUAAAGCAAAUUCCAGCAUUUAGAAAGUGUUCUCAGCAGACUGUCUGAUGUGGUUGGGCCCACUGGGACACGGAGAGAUGUUCACUGCAGAACACGUGGACUUAAGAUUUUUUCACUUUCUAGUUGCUUAGCAUCACUUCUCUAUGAGAUAUCGCUUCCAUGGCAGAACAAACCACGGGAGUAUUCUUCAUCCACUACAGUGCAAAGCCACUUAAACUAAUUUAAGCUAGUUUUUUACUGAAGCGAAUGAGGUGUAUUCAUGUAGUCAGUUCUAACAUCGCUGAACACUAACCUCCAAUAAAGCUUUUUGAACACAAGUGGCAACUUUUAAAAAUCAGUCCACUGAAAUGCAGCACUGGUUAUCCAGUCUACAAAAGAUCACUUCCUGCAGGUCACCGCAGAGCUGUAAAAACCAGCAGUGACUUAGCAAGAGCUAAAAGUAGGGAAUUUACAUCUUUGGCAGUUCCAUAUCUACUCUUGGAGAUACCAGAGGUGACAGUUGGAAGCCACCUUGCCUUUUAUGAAGGUGGCUUCUAAAGGCGUAGUGAGCGUUGAGCACCAAGGAGUUACCUUUGAUAGUGUCUCCUUUGGUCAGCUCUCUUAUUUACUGGUUUGUUUUCAGCACUGAUUCUAGGAUGCAGCAGACCUGCUUAGUGUAAGCAGGUGGCAAAGUAUUUGCCUGAUCAGGGAUACAAGAAACCUAAGAGCUUAGUGAAUGAAGAAGACAAAUGAAAGGACCAGCAUAAAACUGCUAUCUUGAGUUGGUGUUAGAAAAUAAAAUGCAGAACUUCACCUACCAUGAAAAUUUUAUAGAAUGAAUAUUAAUGUUAUGAAGAGAAGUAGGGUGGAUUUGCAUUAUGUAUUUGACUUGUCCCUGGAGCGCAGAGACUGACACAGACUUGUGACUGCAUUAACUAUAGCCAAAUUUUAAUUGAAGAUGAUUGAUUGUUGAGCAUUCUGUUAAUUAACCUCUUUAUUCUGUGUUUUCCUACAGAAUCUGAAAUGUCCUUUCAAAGUAAGUUUUCAAAUUUAACCAUCAAAAAACAUGGACAUGAUCUUCAUUCACAAAAGAUGCCUUGUAAUAGCAAUCCAGGAAAAAGAAAAGAACAAAUGGCAAAUAUAAUUCGCAUGUGCUAUGAAGGAACCUUCUACAUCCAGUGACAUAGAGAAACGGAGGGAUCCUUCUCCAGUCGGUACCAGUCACCAGAAGCAGCUGUUCCACAUCUGAUCAGGUGUCACUCCAUCACUCUCCAGCUGCCCCACGAAUGGCAGCUUUGAAGCAUCUUGUCAGUGACAGUCUGAUGCAAAUUUCAGCACCUUUACAGUGCAAAACAGAUCAUGAUUCACAGAAGACUAGAAGGAAAACAAGGCAGUUAAAAUGAUUUACUUGUUUUGGGAUGGCACACUGUGCCGUUCAGAUUGAGAUUUAGGGCGGGAUUAAUCUAAACACUGAAGUCAUCUCAACGCUGGAGGACUAAGCCAAAUUGUUUCUCUGCACUCCCUCAGUGUGUGUCCAGGAGAAGAGACAGACACCACCAGACGGUGAUCACCCCAUCCUGCCACGGGUGUCAGAGGCAGUGUGAUGAAUUGCUUCCUAAGGUACCUAUCUCUUCUCGCUGACUACGGGGGAAGCACAGACUAGGCAUCUUAUUUUAUAGGCUAAAAUUAGGUGAGAUUAAGGCUACGCAGCUGCUCCAAAGUCAAGACAGCAUUUAUUUUCCUUUUACAUACUUGAUGGGAGGUGCAGAUAGCAGGAUCAGGAAAGGAUGAACAGAGCUCAGUGAGUGCGUAGUUGUUCAAUAUUUCUUUUUAGACUCAUCUCUUAACGUGUCCCCCAUCCAUUAUUUACUGCACACCAUCUGAAUGCUGCACUGAAUAGAGAAUCCGUCAUUUUCUCAUGGGCUUUUCCAUGCUGCUCUCAUUGUAGUACUCUAUUUCUCUGCAAAUAUUAAUGAAUUUAUCUUCCCGACACCCUGGUGAUAUUAUUAACUUCCGCUUACAUGUUGUGAGUGAAGAUGCUGAAAAAAAGUAAAAACGGUCCUCUAGUACUGUUUCCUCCACGUAACAUGCUUUCCAGCUGGAUUUUUCAGAGUGCUUAGCAAUUUUAGGCCUUCAUAAGGUCAAAGUACAGUUCCUGUUCACUUGUGCUGCGAUUAUUGGUGCUUAGCAUUCAGCUGCGUAGUCUCUAGGUGUUUUAAGAUGGAUACCCAGAAAAAUGAAGAAAAAACAGGGGCCCAAAUGCCUCCCUUUGAAGUUCUCUGCCAUAUUCAUGACACACUUUCCAACAUUUGCAACCAAGCAGAUUCGGGCCUUUUUCACUGUUCAGCGUUGACUCCUUCCCUGUCUGAAUGCAAUUCCUCUAUUUCCCCUCCCGGCUGGGAGGUCCGUGGCGUUGGGGGCUGCGCACUGCUAGGUGCGUCAGGCAUCCUGGGACAUAAAGAGCUAAAUCCAAGCCACGUCCCGGCCCCGCGCCGAUGCGAACAAGCUCAGUCAGGCCAUGCCUAGGUGGAGUGCCGGGUGUGUGCAGUACUGGGGACAGAAAGGGGCCAUCCACAAGUUAAAUAAAGGGGCUCCUAAACCGGACUUGAGCAUCAGACCCCUGAUCACCGACACUGCUGGCCCUUCUUUCCCUAAAAGAAAUUCCCACGUGAAGAGGGGUAGUUGUGUCCUGGACCUCCAGGGCAUCCCAGAGAUCACAGGACGACGUGCGGCACGGCACGGACCCCAUCCUGCCCGUGCCCGCUGUGCCUGAGCGGUGCGGGCAUAAACCUCUCAGUUUCAGCAGCGGGAGUUGGUCCCAGGUCCUCUUGCUCAGCAGGAGCCCCCCUCGGGGGCUGCGGGGUGAGAGCGGGCCCCCACCGGGCAGAACGACUGGCCGAGGUGUGGGUGAAGGGGGUGAGAGCCCUCUUCUCCUGCCCUGCCUGCACAGUGUCAGGCUUGAAAUAAACGCACGGAACAGUA